GGUUUUAACCCAAGUUAACCAAGGUUAGCAUUGAAUUUCGACCUUUCGGUAAAACGAUUGUGUUGAGAAUCGUUCAAUUUUUGGAACUGCUUCUUCGGGGUAUCCGGGGAGGCGAAA
rnacentral:sRNA from 1 species